rnacentral:rRNA from 1 species
UACGGGGGGGGCAAGCGUUGUUCGGAAUUACUGGGCGUAAAGGGCUCGUAGGUGGCCAACUAAGUCGGUCGUGAAAUCCCUCGGCUCAACCGAGGAACGUCGAUCGAUACUGCUGUUCUUGAGGAUUGCAGAGGAGACUGGAAUUCCCGGUGUAGCGGUGAAAUGUGUAGAGAUCGGGAAGAACACCGGUGGCGAAGGCGGGUCUCUGGGCAAUUCCUGACGCUGAGGCGCGAAAGCGUGGGGAGCAAACGGG